UACGGAGGGUGCGAGCGUUGUCCGGAAUCAUUGGGCGUAAAGGGCGCGUAGGCGGCUUGCACCGUCAGAUGUGAAAUUCCUGGGCUUAACCUGGGGGCUGCAUUUGAUACGUGUGGGCUUGAGUGCGGAAGAGGGUCGUGGAAUUCCCAGUGUAGAGGUGAAAUUCGUAGAUAUUGGGAAGAACACCGGUGGCGAAGGCGGCGACCUGGUCCGUGACUGACGCUGAGGUGCGAAAGCGUGGGGAGCAAACAGG
rnacentral:rRNA from 1 species